UUGAAAUACUAAUCGACGGGUCUGAGCAUUUUCCAAAAAAACAAUUAGUAUUUGAGAUAUUGAAUUUAUUCCACUUUACAGACUCUCUCUGUAUAUUUGGUUUUUUCCUCGUUUACCACACAAGUCCUAAUUCACCUGCCACGUCUGCAAACCUUGUAAAACACUGCACCAUGUCUCUCAUACUUCUGCCCACCAUAACUAUAUCGUCAGCGUAUGUGAGAAUUUACGUGGAUCUAUUAAAAAUACUUCCAUUCAUUCUAAUAUCUAAUUUUCUGACUGCCUUUUUCAAGACAAUAUUAAAGAGGAGACACGCCAGCGCGCCCCUCUGUCUCAGACCAUUAUUAAUGUCAAAGGACGUAGAGUUUUCUCCUUAAAUCCUAACGCAUGAACUUAGUUUUGCAUUGUUAGUUGGGUCAACUUAACUAACUUAGAUGGGAUCCCAAAGUCUAUCAUUGCAUUAUAUAAUGCAGUUCUUUUAACACUGUCACCAUGGGGUGCUCUGAAGUCGACGAAGAGAUGGUGGUAUCUAUGUUAUAUUCUAGUGAAUUUUCUUGAAUCUGCCUAUGUUCUUGACUUUGAUGUAUAGUUGACUUUCCAGCAGUGAAUCCACAUUGAUAUUGACCAACAAUGUCCUUUGUAAAAUUUUCAAACAAUACAUUAUAAUAUAAUAUAAAUAAAAACUAGAUAUGGGUAAAAUUAUUAUAAUUUAAAAAAUAUAUAGGUGUAUUAUUGUUGCCCAUUCACCUAGUAUGUAUAUUUUUUUGCAUCCCAAACAUUAUUAUUCUUAAAGCCCAAACACCUACUUGCCGUUCCGCGCAUAAAAUGCUUUUUAGCCCGGGCUGGGGAAUCCCAUGAACCACUAGCUAGGGUGUUUACAGUGUCAGUAUUUAUUGUUUUGGUGCUAUAUUAACGUGCAAAUAUUUAAAAUGGUGGGAAUAGAAUUGAGGGAGAUACAAUUCUAGAACACCUAGGCAGCCGAUAAACACAUUGAAGACCAAAUGAGUUUGAAAUCUGAUAAGACACAAGGGCUUUUUUUGUCACAAUUCUAACAACAAAUUGUACACUGUCUUGUACUGAUAUCUUUGUUUCUGAGGGCCUGAUGAUGGCAUACAAAAUGUAAAUGCCGAAACUGGUCGCCCACAUACUGUAGUUAAUAAAACCUUUAAAAGAU